rnacentral:rRNA from 1 species
AGAGUUUGAUCCUGGCUCAGGAUGAACGCUAGCGAUAGGCUUAACACAUGCAAGUCGAGGGGCAGCAUUAUUUUAGCUUGCUAAGAUAGAUGGCGACCGGCGCACGGGUGCGUAACGCGUAUGCAACCUGCCUGUAAUUAGGGAAUAACCCGGUGAAAGUCGGACUAAUACCCUAUAUUCUUCUUUCUCCGCAUGGAGAGGGAUGGAAAGAUUUAUUGAUUACAGAUGGGCAUGCGUCCCAUUAGCUUGUUGGUAAGGUAACGGCUUACCAAGGCAACGAUGGGUAGGGGGACUGAGAGGUUGACCCCCCACACUGGUACUGAGACACGGACCAGACUCCUACGGGAGGCAGCAGUGAGGAAUAUUGGUCAAUGGGCGAGAGCCUGAACCAGCCAAGUCGCGUGAAGGACGACGGUUCUAUGGAUUGUAAACUUCUUUUGUAGAGGAAUAAUGGCAGCUACGCGUAGCUGAGAUGCAUGUACUCUACGAAUAAGUAUCGGCUAACUCCGUGCCAGCAGCCGCGGUAAUACGGAGGAUACGAGCGUUAUCCGGAAUUAUUGGGUUUAAAGGGUGCGUAGGUGGCGUAUUAAGUCAGUGGUGAAAAGCUGCAGCUCAACUGUAGUCUUGCCGUUGAAACUGAUAUGCUAGAGAGGAGACGAGGUAUGCGGAAUGUGUGGUGUAGCGGUGAAAUGCAUAGAUAUCACACAGAACGCCGAUUGCGAAGGCAGCGUACCAGGCUCCGUCUGACACUGAAGCACGAAAGCGUGGGGAUCAAACAGGAUUAGAUACCCUGGUAGUCCACGCAGUAAACGAUGAAUACUAGAUUUUUGCGAUAUACUGUAAGAGUCUAAGCGAAAGCGAUAAGUAUUCCACCUGGGGAGUACGCCGGCAACGGUGAAACUCAAAGGAAUUGACGGGGGCCC